UUUUCGUACAAGGUUUCUGUAGGUGAACCUGCAGAAGGAUCAUUAG
rnacentral:rRNA from 1 species